GCUGCACAUGGUGGUGCACAUCUGUAAUCCCAGCAGCUGGGAGGCUGAGGCAGGAGGAUCAUGAGUUCAAAGCCAGCCUCAGCAACAGUGAGGUGCUAAGCAACUCAGUGAGACCCUGUCUCUA
rnacentral:sRNA from 1 species